UUUGCAGGGAUUCCCUUUUCAUAUCAACACCGAGGAAUGUUUCAAUGGCAUACAGACUCUGCUUGCCAGCAUCCACAACCAGAACUCCUUGUUUGUGGUGGGAAAGAAGAUCGUGAUGUGUCUGGCAGCAGCUAACAACCAGGAUGUGGUUGGUGUGCAGCUGCCUUAUGAGUCUCUGAUUCAAUUCCUGAGAAGUCCUUCAGAAAUCGAUUGUAACAGAGCUCAUUGGGGGUCUUGUCAGGGUGCUUGCAACUCCCUGUGUCCACUAUUACAACUUCCGGGACGUGUUUUAUGAACUACUUCAGUUUGGAUUCCUCACAAAUGACUCAGCUCCUGAGGCAUCCUUUAAACGACUCUGACACUAACAAGCAGCAAGGACAUCACAAAACUCCAGAAUCUAUGCUUCCACCACCCAUAUGAUCCCAAUCCACUCCAAGCCUUUUCCUGGAGGCUGUCUGAUCCAGCCUGUGCCAUAGCUAGUGAGGGCAUAGCCAGAAAUCUGACGGGACAACUUCACUGAGGCUCCGAGAGGUUUAACCUCAGCAGGAGACGAGGUCAGACUGAUGCCAUGCACAUCUGAGAAGAGGAGAGCGUUAAAACACACAGAAGCUAUUAAACACACUUCACUUCAACUCAGACUGAAAUAUGGAGCAUAUAAAAAUGUAAGGUGUGGAGGGACGUGUUUUUACUCACAGGGCACAGAGGAUAUCAGAAGAAGAAGAGGCCAGCUCAUGAUUCAUCUGCUGUACUCGACCAAACACAGACACUGCUGUGUAUUUACAGUGUAUUUAUAUCUGUCUGAGGUUGGGGAGAUUUGCAUGCAGUAUGGGUUAUGUAUUUAACAUUUAUUAUGGUGGUCUUUCUAUAGUACAGCAUUUUUUCAAACAUUUUAAUUCAUAAAACUGUGUAGACAAAUUCUUACAGGAACAAAUUAAUUAAUUCAAUUUAAUCAAAAUAUAGUUUCAUGGCUGCAUAUGAAGAAACAAAUAAAUUAGCUAAACGUUUUCUUAUGACUUAUGUUUUUAUAGUGCAAUUGAAUGUUUAAUCAUGUAAAAUGUCUUUGCGUAUAAUUAAUGUUGCUUUCAUGUUUGUCUUCAGCUUUAAGCACCAGCCAGAGAUGAUAAAAGAAAAAGGUUUCUGACGGAUCCAGUGCAUGUAGUUGCUGCCCAUUGAGAAUCCAGAGACAGUACAG